UACGAAGGGGGCUAGCGUUGUUCGGAUUAACUGGGCGUAAAGGGUGCGUAGGCGGGGUUUUAAGUCAGGGGUGAAAUGCCGAGGCUCAACUUCGGAACUGCCUUUGAUACUGGAGAUCUUGAGUCCGGGAGAGGUGAGUGGAAUUGCGAGUGUAGAGGUGAAAUUCGUAGAUAUUCGCAAGAACACCAGUGGCGAAGGCGGCUCACUGGCCCGGAACUGACGCUGAGACGCGAAAGCGUGGGGAGCAAACAGG
rnacentral:rRNA from 1 species